AAAUUGCAAAUUUGAAACUGCACCCUUAAAGG
rnacentral:tRNA from 1 species